rnacentral:rRNA from 1 species
ACCCGGCAGGGUAUAAAAUAAAGGUAAAGAAAAAGUGAUUUGUACCUCUUGUAUCAGGGACAUUUAAAAAAUAAAGUUAUGUUAAUUUCGAUUUAAUUAAAACUUAAGUAAGGAAGGAUAGUGGAAUUUAUAUUUUCAAGUUCUAGGUGGUUAAAAGUUGUCGUUAGUUAUAGUAUCUAAUUAUCCAAAAUAUUUAAGGUUAAGCUUAAAUAUGACCAAAAAAUAAUAAAAUGUUCAAAAAAUUAGGCUUUUAAUUAGCUUUAUUUUUAAAUAGUUGUAUAUAAUUAUAAACAUAAAAAAUGUUUUUGGUAAAAUAUUAUUGUUAUUUAAACAAAUAAAAAAUAAUGAGUGUAUAAAAUAAAUAUUGAAAGUAGAAAAUAACUCGCAAAAGGUAUAACUGUUUAUCAAAAACAUUUCUUUUUUUAUUAAAAGUAAAACCUGCUCAGUGAUUUAUUUAACAGCUGCGGUAUUUUGACCGUGCUAAGGUAGCAUAAUCAAUUGUUUUUUAAUUGAAAACUAGUAUGAACGGUUGAAUAUAUCAAAUAAGUUUGUUUACUUUUUUUAUAAAUUAAAGAUAAAGUAAGAAUUCUUUAAUAGAUUAAGGGACGAUAAGACCCUAAAAGCUUUAUUAUUAGUAUAAAGUUAAUGGUAUUAAAAAAAUAAAUUUACUGGGGCAGUACUUUUAUAUGCCCGCAUAUAUUCAAAGAAUAGUGAAAGGUCCUUUAAAUAAAGAUUAUACGAGCAAGUUACUUUAGGGAUAACAGUGUAAUAUAUUUGGGGAGAUCGAAUCUAUAAAUAUGAUUGCAACCUCGAUGUUGAAUUAGAGUUUCUAUACGAGCAGAAUACGAUUUAGAAAGUUUGUUCAACUUUUAAAUCUCUAUAUGAUUUGAGUUCAAAUCGGUUUAAGCCAGAUUGGAUUCUAUCUUUUAUUUAUAUAAAUAUAAUUUUAGUACGAAAGGGGUAAAUUAUUUUUGUUUGC